GUUGGGUCCGCGUGGUUCUAAACAGCCGCUAGUACAUAACAUGUCAACGAAAGAUAACUCUUCAGAGGAUUGGAUUUCGACGAUUUUCCCUUGAAACAUCUGAUGUCCUCACGCAGAAGAAGGAUAUUCUCCUUCCAUAGUUUGCACCGCUCCAGGGGUUGUCACCGGCUGCUUUUGGGCCGUCACUUGCAACCGAUGUCACUGCAGGACCUUUUCCUUUGGGUCUGGCGACGUACCUGUCCUCUCUGAAUACACCUCUUCGCUCACUUUGUUUCUCCAGAAGUGCCUUGAUGCACAAAGUAGGUUUGAUUGCCGUUUUUAUUAUUUCGAUACAAAACAACGAGAAGCAAAAAAAUUGAAAAGAAAACGAAACGGAAGGUAUUUAAAAGUGUAGUUGUGUUUUCACCGCACAAGACCGGAAACAUUAAACCUUGGGGGCCUUUCAAAGUAGCUUAUCAGUGUUUGAGAUGGGCCCAACAUAAUAUUGAUAGUUUUAAUGCACCUGUUAUAUUAAUUCUGAAUGGGUUUAUCACACGUAAUGUGUCUCUUCAUCUUGGCACACCCAACCUUUUUAAAUUGUAUAAUAAUCAACUAUAAUUGAUCAAAACUGUCCUGAGUUUAUAAUGCAGUUAUAUCAUCCAAACCUUAAAAUGUCUUGCAAGCUUUGGAAAUCUUGUCUCGAUGACCAGACAUGGAAACUUUAAGUACAGCUGAAGUCAAACAAAUGCAUUUGUGGCUGCUAAAAUUUAUUAUUGGACAGUAUUAUCAGGCCAAGUAGGCCAAUAUAUGUCAUACAAUUACCGAAAAAUAUCUAUAAAGCACAUUUACAAAUCCUAUAAGGCAUACAAGUAUUUUUUUUCCAUAUCAGGCAGUCCGUAAAGAUUUUGUAAAAUCAAAGAAGGGCUGACCUGGAACUGUAUUUUCAUUAAUUAUUUUUUACUGUAUACGUUGUUGUAGUUUCUGCUCUGGCAUGAAAUAAUAAUACAUUUAAUACGAAAGUGCAGAUUUACUUACAGCCAUACGGGGGCGCUAUUUAACCGUAUGUCCCUGGUCGCGAUAAAUUCGGUCCAGAAUGUGGUUUAAAUUAAUUAUUAUUUGAGGUUAUUAUUAACAUAAUGACAAUCUUGUUUAGUUAUGAGCCUUUGAAAAAAAAAAAUAUAUAUAUUUAUGUUUACAUGAUUAUUUACGGUCCAUGUCGUCGAUAGUGUAUUUGGGGCCUUAUAUAGCCGGUACUAUGUUGAUGUCAAGUUAGAAAUAAUGACGCUGUCAAAAAGCUGAAGAUGAAGUAGUUUAGUGGCUUCUAGUAAAAUACAAACGUUCUGCAGUUUCGUGUUUACAACGGAAAUAAGCUGCCAUUGCUUUAUCUUAUAAAUUAUACCUUUUGUGGUUCAAAGUGAUCAAGCUUUUAAUAUAUUUGCUGUGAUGGUUUUUGCUACUCCUUUUUGUAACGGUGGUUGUUUAAAGUAUUUUACGCCUAAUGUGAUAUAUUCUCUCGAAGGCUGCUACUGCAUGCAUUUGAAAUAGUCCCAACCUCAUUUGUACAGACAGAACUAAAUUGGUGAUUUUUAACAUAUGUCAUUAUGUGAACAUAUAUUCACUGUCAUAGCAGGAUGAGCCAAUAAGAAGGGUGUUUCAAAGGGCAUCCUUGAAAUUCAAGUGCCAAACAGGAAUUAACUGAACAUAUUUAUAUUUAUUCUACUACAAUCUGCUGCAUUAUCGGAGGAAGAUAUUGAAGCAUUUAUUUUCAUUUGGUCAAUUUUCAUUAAAAUGUAAUUUGACUCUGUUCAGCUGUGAGUGUGAUUUGGCUCAUCCAGACACUGAUGGCUGAAUGUAAAAUGUGUGUUUUGUAAAGGGAAUGAAUUCCACAUUUUCUUUGACUGCUUUCUGUCCUGUCUGACAUCUCAUAAGCAUCGUAUCACAUACAAAUGCUAAUGUUGGAGAUUUUGUACAUUAUGGACAUUAAACGUUUUGAACUUGUUGGCUCACAGCUUAUUG